GUUACCCUAGCAAGCGGGUUACCCUACUUCAAUAUGUUUUAUAGGAAGCGUUUACAUGCGCGCUAGGGUUACCCUAGGGGUAGGGUUACCCUAUCAAACAGAUAGGGUGACCCUAGCAGCAGGGCUAUCUUUUUGUUUACAUAAGCCAUGUAAACGCGUCAGGUAGGGUUACCCUAUCAAGCGGGUCAAGUUAUUAUAUUCAUUCUACCGUGACUGUCAGACAGGCGAGGAUGGCGUCGCAAGAUCAUACUUAUCAACCAGGCGAGUAUUUUAAAAGACAUCAGAAGAAUAAAACGGAUAGGCAAUCCAGGGAAGUAGUACCAGAGGUACAUGUAAAUAAUGAAGAGUUCCUUUUGGUCGAUAACGCUGCGAAUGCGCCGAAUGAUGCACUUUCGACAACAAAGCGAAAAGCAGAGAAACGGAAGCAAAAUACAGACGCAUCCUCAUCGUCGACCGCAAAAAAAACGAAAAAAUGGUCUUGGUCGGCCGAACUUGUUGAAAAACUUUUGCGCUAUGUAAAAGAAUAUAAGACGCAAUGCGAGUUCAACGGAAUUGACUUCGAAGCCGACUUACAGAGCCUUUACACGGAGCUUCGUUCGUGCAUGGCAGCAGAAGACCCAUGUGAGUUUGGUCCACAAGCCUCGAGUGAACAGAUAAACCCACGCGAUAUGAACAAAGCAGAAUAUGAAGCAUAUAAAAGUAAACGAGAUCAGGAAAAGAAAUUAAUACGCAAAGGGUACGACCGCAUAAAAGAAAAAAUUAAAAGCGUUCGCCAAGAUUAUAGAGCGGCGGUGAACAAAGGCACACGCAGUGGUAGCGGAAAAAUUGUCCAGGACAAUUACGAUUUAUUGACAGACAUUUGGGGUGGAUCUCCGGCAACAACUUCCUUGCCUUUCGGGGUCGAUGGUAUGAUGAAUGAGAAUGACGAAAACGAAAUUGAUGUGGUGAACGUUGGAGAAAACUUUGACGACUCAGGACUGGCCAUUGAAGAACGACUGAAUGAAGGUACUGAAUGAAUGUUUAAUACAGCU